rnacentral:lncRNA from 10 species
CUUGGCUCUUUUUCCAAAAAGAAGUGUUUCAAAAUUGUUUGACGUCCCUGCUCUGGGAUGUCUACAAAGAGACAAAUUGUCCUUUCAUAUGAGUUGACCUGGCAAUGAAGCAUGGCCUGUCCCUUUUGCUGUCCAGAAAUCUCCCAAACUUGUGGCCGGUAACCUCUUCCUUUCUAUCCUUUCCGAAGAUUCCCUUUGGAUGGAAGUCAGCUGUGAAUGCUCUCCUGAUUUGCAUUCAAUUGUAUAAAUUGUCAUAGGGCGGAAAAAUGUAAUCUCAGUUAAUUUGAGGUUUCUUCCUGCCCUGGCAUUGUAUUUAAAUUCAGGGGAACUGGAUGUCUCAUGGGUUUUUCUACUUUUUAAUAUAAUCUGGUUAUAUGGGCAUUGGGUAAGAUAUCUGCCGCCUGAUUUGAUCCUUCCUCAUUGGCCCAAGCAUGUCACCACGGAGACUUCCUUGUUCGUGUCUAUAUGGUUCAUACAUGGCCUUCCCCUUAAUUAAAGAUGUCUUCCGAGGAACAUUUUGUCUAAGCCUGAUUGAACCCCAACCAGAGGCUGAGGCAGGAGAAUCACUUGAACCCAAGAGGCAGAGGUUGCAGUGAGCCGAGAUUGCACCAUUGCACUCCAGCCUGGGCAACAAGAGCAAAACUCCAUCUCAAAAAAAAAAAGAAAAGAAAAACUAGAACCUCAUUUAUUACUACUGAGAACUGUAGAACUGCAAAGUGGUUCUAAAGUUGUAGAACCACUUUAGAAAAAAUUGGGCGAUUUCUUGUAAAGUUAACACAUUCACUGUAUGAUUCAGAAAUUUCAUUACUAUGUUGUAUGUAAGAAAUGAAAACACAUGUCUACAAAAGAAUUAUAUAUAAAUGUUUAUUGUAGUUUUAUUUGUAAUAACAAAAAGCUGGAGACAAUUCAGAUAUUCAUCAAACAGUGAAUGGAUAAACAAAUCGUGAUAUAUUCAUUCAAUGGAACACUUCUUCAGCAAUAAAAAGCAAAAAGCUACUGAUACAUGCAACAUCAUGGCUAUGUCUCAAAAUCAUUACGAUGAUGAAAGAGGGUAGAGUAAAUAAUAUGUGAUUCUAUCUAUACAAAAUUGUACAGCAAACAAAACUAGUUUGCAAUGACAGAAAGCAGUUUAGUGGUUGUGGUUAAAGGUAGAGUUGGAGAACUUUUUUUGGAGUGAAAAUGUAUGUUCAAUAUAUUAAUUGUGGUCAUGGUUACACUAAUGUUUAUGUUUUUCAAAACUCACAAAACUGUAUUAUGUAUAAAUGCAUAUAAUAUAUUGUAUGUAAAUUUGAACCUAAAUUAAAUUGAUUUAAAAAGAAAAAAUCAAUAAAAAUAUUAAGAAAUACACUUCUAAAUAAACCGUGAGGCACAGAGUCAAUUAUAAUGGAAACAAAAAAAAUUUGAAUUGAAUGAUAUUAAAAAUAUUAGAUGUCAAAACUUCCUGUUAAACAAGUACUUAGUGGGAA